GACGUAGGAGGCGAGCGUUGUCCGGAUUCAUUGGGCGUAAAGAGCACGCAGGCGGUUUGGCAAGUCGGAUGUGAAAACCCGAAGCUCAACUUCGGGCCUGCACCCGAAACUGCCCGACUAGAGGUAGGUAGGGGAGAUCGGAAUUCCUGGUGUAGCGGUGAAAUGCGCAGAUAUCAGGAGGAACACCGGUGGCGAAGGCGGGUCCCUGGGCCGUAACUGACGCUGAGGAGCGAAAGCGUGGGGAGCGAACAGG
rnacentral:rRNA from 1 species